rnacentral:lncRNA from 1 species
AAUUAUUUUAUCUUAUUCAAAGAUAAACUUUCUCUCCAUUUGGUUUGAGAGUUGUCAAGUUCUUUCGCUCCUAUAUGGAUCAUAUUAGUAUCAGAGCAUUUUGAUCCUACCUGUAUAUGGUUAAGAUUAAAAGUGGUUACAAGGAGACUAGAGAACCAUUUUCUAUUCUCAACAUUCACUGAAGACCCUAAAAAACAUCCAUAAGUUUUGAGUCUGUCAUAAUGGCAUAAGACUCUAUUGUAGUCAACUUGGUCAGCAAAUUGCUAACCUGUUCGAAAAGAUGGAAAAAGUUAUGUCUUUUAUGGAGGAUUAAUCUCGUGAUGAUUCUGAUAAAAACUCCAUAGAGACAAUUAAAAGUCCCAGCCUGAGUUUAAGAACAAAGAACAAAAAUCAGUCUCCUUAAGAAGAGGAAGAAGAGAGGUUAUCAAGACCUUUUAAGAUGGAGGCAAAAAUUGACAUUUCAUCAUAUGACGGUUCANNN